AGACCCGAAACCCGGUGAUCUAGCCAUGGGCAGGUUGAAGGUUGGGUAACACUAACUGGAGGACCGAACCGACUAAUGUUGAAAAAUUAGCGGAUGACCUGUGGCUGGGGGUGAAAGGCCAAUCAAACCGGGAGAUAGCUGGUUCUCCCCGAAAGCUAUUUAGGUAGCGCCUCGUGAAUUCAUCUCCGGGGGUAGAGCACUGUUUCGGCUAGGGGGCCAUCCCGGCUUACCAACCCGAUGCAAACUGCGAAUACCGGAGAAUGUUAUCACGGGAGACACACGGCGGGUGCUAACGUCCGUCGUGAAGAGGGAAACAACCCAGACCGCCAGCUAAGGUCCCAAAGUCAUGGUUAAGUGGGAAACGAUGUGGGAAGGCCCAGACAGCCAGGAUGUUGGCUUAGAAGCAGCCAUCAUUUAAAGAAAGCGUAAUAGCUCACUGGUCGAGUCGGCCUGCGCGGAAGAUGUAACGGGGCUAAACCAUGCACCGAAGCUGCGGCAGCGACACUCAGGUGUUGUUGGGUAGGGGAGCGUUCUGUAAGCCUGUGAAGGUGGCCUGUGAGGGUUGCUGGAGGUAUCAGAAGUGCGAAUGCUGACAUAAGUAACGAUAAAGCGGGUGAAAAGCCCGCUCGCCGGAAGACCAAGGGUUCCUGUCCAACGUUAAUCGGGGCAGGGUGAGUCGACCCCUAAGGCGAGGCCGAAAGGCGUAGUCGAUGGGAAACGGGUUAAUAUUCCCGUACUUGGUGUUACUGCGAAGGGGGGACGGAGAAGGCUAUGUUGGCCGGGCGACGGUUGUCCCGGUUUAAGCGUGUAGGUGUGUGUUCCAGGUAAAUCCGGUUCACUUUAACACUGAGGCGU
rnacentral:rRNA from 1 species